rnacentral:pre_miRNA from 1 species
UGUGCAAAGCCCAAUCAUGUCUAUGCCAGUUAGACGGGUUGGUUUUGCAUGU